CUCCCGUAGGUGAACCUGCGGAAGGAUCAUUAAUGAGUUGUCAUGGGGUUCGAUGCUGGCAGCCAAUUUUUGGAUGCAUGUGCUUGCCCUAACAAUCAUCUUCCAAACACCUGUGCACAUUUUUGAGGGAGUCUUGAGUUGGUUGCCGCUCUUGGGUGAUUUUCUCACAUUCCCUUAAAUCAUUAUACGCUAUUAACAAUGUUGAACGUGCUCUGUGCCGCAAGGCUAUUAAUAUAAUACAACUUUUAACAACGGAUCUCUUGGCUCUC
rnacentral:misc_RNA from 1 species